rnacentral:rRNA from 1 species
ACUCCUACGGGAGGCAGCAGUAGGGAAUCUUCCACAAUGGGCGAAAGCCUGAUGGAGUAACGCCGCGUGGGUGAAGAAGGUCUUCGGAUCGUAAAAACCCUGUUGUUAGAGAAGAAAGUGCGUGAGAGUAACUGUUCACGUUUCGACGGUAUCUAACCAGAAAGCCACGGCUAACUACGUGCCAGCAGCCGCGGUAAUACGUAGGUGGCAAGCGUUAUCCGGAUUUAUUGGGGCGUAAAGGGAACGCAGGCGGUCUUUUAAGUCUGAUGUGAAAGCCUUCGGCUUAACCGGAGUAGUGCAUUGGAAACUGGGAGACUUGAGUGUAGAAGAGGAGAGUGGAACUCCAUGUGUAGCGGUGAAAUGCGUAGAUAUAUGGAAGAACACCAGUGGCGAAAGCGGCUCUCUGGUCUGUAACUGACGCUGAGGUUCGAAAGCGUGGGUAGCAAACAGGAUUAGAUACCCUGGUAGGAUACCG